rnacentral:rRNA from 1 species
GUCGAGCGGUAACAGGUGUAGCAAUACAUGCUGACGAGCGGCGAACGGGUGAGUAAUGCUUUGGAAUCUUCCCAGUAGUGGGGAAUAACCAGUCGAAAGAUUGGCUAAUACCGCAUACGUCUGUAAAGGGAAAGCGGGGGCUCGUAAGACCUCGCGCUAUUGGAUGAGCCAAAGUCGGAUUAGCUAGUUGGUGGGGUAAUGGCCUACCAAGGCGACAAUCCGUAGCUGGUCUGAGAGGACGACCAGCCACACCGGAACUGAGACACGGUCCGGACUCCUACGGGAGGCAGCAGUGGGGAAUAUUGGACAAUGGGGGAAACCCUGAUCCAGCGACGCCGCGUGUGUGAAGAAGGCCUGCGGGUUGUAAAGCACUUUUAGUGGGGACAAAAAGUCACGGAUUAAUACUCUGUGAUCUUGAUUUAACCCAAAGAAAAAGCACCGGCUAACUCUGUGCCAGCAGCCGCGGUAAUACAGAGGGUGCGAGCGUUAAUCGGAAUUACUGGGCGUAAAGCGCGCGUAGACGGUUUUGUAAGUCAGAUGUGAAAUCCCCGGGCUCAACCUGGGAACUGCAUUUGAAACUGCAUGGCUAGAGUAUCGAAGAGGGAAGUGGAAUUUCCGGUGUAGCGGCGAAAUGCGUAGAUAUCGGAAGGAACACCAGUGGCGAAAGCGACUUCCUGGUCGA